rnacentral:piRNA from 1 species
CCCGGGAAUCAAACAUAUUACUCU